UAAUACCCCAUAUGCUUUUGAGUGAAAUGGAUUUUAUCCGCCUAGAGAGAAGCUCGCGGCUGAUUAGCUUGUUGGUAAGGUAAGAAGCUUACCAAGGCGACGAUCAGUAUCNGGUUUGAGAGGACGAUCAGACACACUGGAACUGAGACACGGUCCAGACUCCUACGGGAGGCAGCAGUGGGGAAUUUUCCGCAAUGGGCGAAAGCCUGACGGAGCAAUACCGCGUGAGGGAAGAAUGCCUAUGGGUUGUAAACCUCUUUUUUCAGGGAGGAAUAAAAUGACGUGUACCUGAAGAAUAAGCAUCGGCUAACUCCGUG
rnacentral:rRNA from 1 species